rnacentral:rRNA from 1 species
AAUUGAAGAGUUUGAUCAUGGCUCAGAUUGAACACUGGUGGCAGGCCUAACACAUGCAAGUCGAGCGGCAUCGAGUGAGCGCAGUUUACUGAGUUCAUGUCGGCGAGCGGCGGACGGGUGAGUAAAGUCUGGGAAUCUGGCCGAAGGAGGGGGAUAACUGCUGGAAACGGCAGCUAAUACCGCAUGAAGUCGCGAGACCAAAGUGGGGGACCUUCGGGCCUCACGCCUUCGGAUGAGCCCAGAUGAGAUUAGCUGGUAGGUAAGGUAAAGGCUUACCUAGGCGACGAUCUCUAGCGGGUCUGAGAGGAUAGCCCGCCACACUGGAACUGAGACACGGUCCAGACUCCUACGGGAGGCAGCAGUGGGGAAUAUUGCACAAUGGGCGAAAGCCUGAUGCAGCCAUGCCACGUGUGUGAAGAAGGCCUUCGGGUUGUAAAGCACUUUCAGCGAGGAGGAAGCGAUAAAUGCGAAUACCAUUUAUUUUUGACGUUACUCGCAGAAGAAGCACCGGCUAACUCCGUGCCAGCAGCCGCGGUAAUACGGAGGGUGCGAGCGUUAAUCGGAAUAACUGGGCGUAAAGGGCAUGUAGGCGGUGAGUUAAGUCAGAUGUGAAAUCCCCGAGCUCAACUUGGGAAUGGCAUUUGAAACUGGGUCGCUAGAGUUUUCUAGAGGGGGUAGAAUUCCAGGUGUAGCGGUGAAAUGCGUAGAUAUCUGGAGGAAUACCGGUGGCGAAGGCGGCCCCCUGGAGAAAGACUGACGCUGAGGUGCGAAAGCGUGGGGAGCAAACAGGAUUAGAUACCCUGGUAGUCCACGCUGUAAACGAUGUCGAUUUGGAGGUUGCGGUCUUGAACUGUGGCGUCCGGAGCUAACGCGUUAAAUCGACCGCCUGGGGAGUACGGCCGCAAGGUUAAAACUCAAAUGAAUUGACGGGGGCCCGCACAAGCGGUGGAGCAUGUGGUUUAAUUCGAUGCAACGCGAAGAACCUUACCUACUCUUGACAUCCACGGAAUUGUGCAGAGAUGCGCAAGUGCCUUCGGGAACCGUGAGACAGGUGCUGCAUGGCUGUCGUCAGCUCGUGUUGUGAAAUGUUGGGUUAAGUCCCGCAACGAGCGCAACCCUUGUCCUUUGUUGCCAGCGCGUAGAGGCGGGAACUCAAAGGAGACUGCCGGUGAUAAACCGGAGGAAGGUGGGGACGACGUCAAGUCAUCAUGGCCCUUACGAGUAGGGCUACACACGUGCUACAAUGGCGUAUACAAAGGGAUGCGAACCUGCGAGGGAAAGCGGAACUCAGAAAGUACGUCGUAGUCCGGAUUGGAGUCUGCAACUCGACUCCAUGAAGUCGGAAUCGCUAGUAAUCGUAGAUCAGAAUGCUACGGUGAAUACGUUCCCGGGCCUUGUACACACCGCCCGUCACACCAUGGGAGUGGGUUGCAAAAGAAGUAGGUAGCUUAACCGCAAGGAGGGCGCUUACCACUUUGUGAUUCAUGACUGGGGUGAAGUCGUAACAAGGUAACCGUAGGGGAACCUGCGGUUGGAUCACCUCCUUAACUAUAAA